GCACUCACUUUGCAAGCACAUAUACUAAAAAUUGAAAUGAUACAAGGAAGAUUAGCAUGGCCUCUGCUUAAAGAUGACACACAAAUUCAUGAAGUAUUCCAAUAAAAA